AUACGGGGGGAGCAAGCGUUGUCCGGAAUCAUGGGGCGUAAAGGGCACGUAGGCGGUUUCUUAAGUCGAAUGUGAAAUCUCACGGCUCAACCGUGAAACUGCGUUCGAAACUAAGUGACUUGAGUUUGGGAGAGGUGUACGGAAUUCCUGGUGUAGCGGUGGAAUGCGUAGAUAUCAGGAAGAACACCAAUGGCGAAGGCAGUACACUGGCCUGAAACUGACGCUGAGGUGCGAAAGCGUGGGGAGCAAACAGGAUUAGAAACCCUAGUAGUCC
rnacentral:rRNA from 1 species